CCCCAUCUCCUUCUCUGUUUUCCUCAACAGGUACAUGACCACCUGCAUCUUCUUAGAAAUGCAUAAAUGCUACCAUAUCAUCUCUUCCUCCUUGUUUGUCUUCACAUCCUUUGUAACCUCCCUCACCCAUUCCUCAAUAAAUUCUCUCUUAUAUACCAGUGACUCUUCUUCCACUACCUACUCAACUAUAUUGGUAACAAAUAAUGCAUUUAGGUCAAUUGGAUGUAAUCGUCCAUUUUCCUCAACUUCUGCUCUUGGAAAUUCAAAUUAUAAUGAGCAUGGACUAGCUUUUAAAGCCUCUUUAAAGUAAGUGGGUCCUCAUAAGACGAGGCAACAACUAGAAUAUUCUUCAGUCAUACUCGCACCACUUAACUAAGCAGACUUGACAAAGCACUUUGAGCAUUAUCUUGCUUAAGUGAGAUAAGCCAAAAGCAUGUACCUCCCACCAUUCAGCUAAACUAAAAUGCAAAUGGCAUUGAAUAAUUUCCUAAUGUAAAAGAUGUGAAAAGGAGCGUAAUUAGUUAAAAGAUAACAUGGAUCCAUGUCAAUUGAGAAGCACUAACAGAUCUCUUGCAAAUAAGACUUCCACGCCCUUUAUAUAUAUCUAAAGCAAAGACAAACACACACAAGUGCAUAAAGUCAAGGAAAUUCCUACAUUGGAAGUUAACUCUUCACUCACUUAGUAUUCUAUAUGGUUCAUAUGACUUAUCUUUAAUCUUCCGAUGCAAUAUCUCACCCCUUCCAUGACUUUCUUAAGAAUAACAUGCGUCAACUAGAAAUGUUUGGAUUAAAAUACGAACAUAGACAACACAAAGAAAGAAAAACUAUUUACCAUUACAGUGAUGAAACAUUUGAAUAUUUUAAAAAAAAUAAAGAAGUACUUACCUGCAUAGUGAAGUAGGUGACCCAAGUGAUUGUUCUACCUUCUCUUAAUGAUCUUCACCACUUUCUAUUGACAAACUUUAAUGCUCUUGAAGAAUACCUAGGUAAGGAGCUAUAUGAUGGAUUUCUUGUCAGCAGUCACCAUCCUUGCUACUAUCACUAAAGGACUUAUGGGCUCCAUAACACUAGCACAUCUAGACCAAAACCUUUUAUUCGUAUUAUAUCAUCUACCUGCACUCCCCUAGAGAACUUAAGAGGCAGUUGUUCGAUCACUCUUCAAAUGUAACCAACCUCUUCAACUUGGCUUGGGACUAUAAAAUAGAGUCUUCUGCUAAGUUGUCUGUCCUGAAAGCAUGUGAUGGCAAGCCUGAUCAGCUCCUUCUUAACAGUGUGUUGUUUCUUUAAGUGAAGGAGUUGACAUGGUUAUAGACGAAUUUUAUAACCCACCUCAUCCAUCCUAGAAUCUCCUUGACAACUUUGAUAUCUCAUGUGCAACAAAAACUCUAAUUUUUAUUGAUGCAUAUGUCCUUAUUGAUCCUGUGUUAGAGGAGCAAGCACAAAUCGAAUGAACGACAAUGGAACAAGCACAACAAUGAGAGGAAUAGUCCAAACUUCACCGAAAGUGAAUGGACGAUGACUCCAUUUGUAAAAUAUCAUCAAUGCACUCAUAUUCCCCAUCCAUGUAUGGAUCUCUAUCUAUUGCACAAGAAGUAUAGAAUGGGUUGGAGAUCAAAUACAAGAUUAAAGAGUCAGGUAACCAAAUGCUUUUUAUUUCUAAUUAUGUUAAUAUUAAAUUCACUAAAAAUAAGCCAUUAUUCAAUCAAGUAUAUGAGUUACAACUUAUCAUAAGUGAACUUAAAGGCUGUGGAGUGGAGUGGAGUUGAGUGAAGCUUUCCAAGUGGGAGCUAUCAUUUAUUAAUUACCCCCAUCAUGGAAAGAGUGCUAAAGAAAAUGAAACAUAAGAAGGUUGAUGUUGAUCUUAUUAAACUUAAAUGGCCUCUUUGUAUUGAGGAAGAGAAUGAGCUUUGGGAAAUGAAAGAUUUGGCCUUAGAAAAUCAAUUGGCAAGGGACUUUCAAUCCAAGGCAAACCUUGUAGAGCACAAGUCUAAGGAUGAGGCUCAAGGCAAUAAAUAUUUAUUCCCGAGCAAUAAAAAGACAUCUCUAAGGAUAAAAAGUCCAAAAAUAUAUAUUUACUGCUUGUGUGGAAAAUUAAGGCACUACUCUAAAGAGUGCCACAAGCGAAAAAAUGUUGCAAGUUCCUUAAACAAAGUAAACUUAAUAACCAAGGAAGAAAAAUAUGUGGCUAUGAUCACUAAGAUGAAUAUUAUUGAAAAUUAUUCCAGUUAGUGGGUAGAAACAGGUGCUACAAUCCCUAUUCAUAACAUUUGAGAUUAUUUCAAGACCUAUGAGCCAUUGGAAAAUGGGAACUUAGUUUAACUGGGCACCAAAGCCUUAGCAAGGAUGCUUGAUAAAGGCGCAGUGGCCUUCAGGUAAGAUUCUCAUUUUAGAGAACGUGUUUUAUGUGCCUAAAAUGAGGAGGAACCUAGUGUCAGGUUAUUUGCUUAAUACGUAUCGCUUUGAUGGCUAUUGGAUCUAAUAAGAUCAUUUCAAUGAACAGAGGUAUCUUUGUGGCAAAGGGUACACAUGUAAUGGGAUGUUCAAGCUCCAUUUGAAUAGUAAAAUAAGGAACCCUUCCAUGUAUCUAGUGAGUGUAUCCAAUUUAUGGUAUAUGCUAUAUUAGGUCACUUGACUUUGCUUCUAUUAAGAACAAGGUUAAAGGGCUUAAUCCCUGAAUGCAGUGAUGUAUCUGAUGGUAAAUGUGAAAUCUCAAUUCAAGCUAAAAUAGUAAGGAAGCAUGUCCUUCGGUGGAAAAGAAUGCUGAUUAUUAGGGCUUGUACAUAGUCAUAAUUAGACCUCAAUAAUACUUUCAUAAGAUGAGGAAAGAGAUACUUCAUCACAUCAUUGAUGAUUACUCUCAAUACACAUAUGUUUAUUUAUUCAAAAAAUCUAAAAUAUAUAAAGUUGAAGUUCAAUAUCAACUUGAGAGAAAAAUAAAGAUUGUGAGGAGUGACUGGGGUGGGGAAUAUCUAUCAAAUAGCCUUUUGUGAAAACAACGGGAUCAUUCACCAAGUCACCACUCCGUAUACCCCUCCAUAGAAUAACUUAUCUGAGAGAAAGAACUGAAUAUUGGUGGAGAUGGUUAAUGCUAUGAUCAUUAAUGCUAGUUUGCUGUUAUUUUUGUAGAGAAAAGCUUUACGUGCUACAUGUUUUACUCUUUAUAGAAUUCCAUAUAAGAAAGUAGAGAAAACAUCUUAUAAGCUCUGAUUGAAUAAAAAACCAAAUUGAGGUUUUCUCAAAGUAUGGGCUUGUUUGGAACUCAUAAGAUUGCCUGAUCUAAAAAGAAAUAAAUUUGGACCCUAGACCUCUAGAUGUGUUUUUGUAGGGGGGUAUGCACGAAACACUAAAGCAUAUUAUUUUCUAGAAUUAAGUUCUAAUGCUAUAAUUGAAUCUAGAGAUGUUGAAUUCUUUGAGAACUUAACUCAUAAAAAUGAACUAGAAUGUGAUGAUCAUCUUCCAAAAAGAUAUGAACUUGAAACUUAUAAUGAACCAAUUGAAGAGGUUGUAGAAGAGAAGUAAAAGAGGAAGAAAGGAUUCAUUAAAUAAUUUCAAGCCUAAUUUUUAUAUCCCUUUAGUAGAGGCCAACCAACAUAAUCUUUUGGGUGAAAUACUCAUGGCUUCAGUUCAGGGGGAGGCUUCCUCUUUAAGCAAAAUGCUAGCAUCUAAUGAUGUUAUCUUUUGGAGAGAGACCAUUAAUAGUGAGAUGGAUUCAAUUCUUGCUAAUAGUAUAUGGAAGUUAGUAGGCUUGCCACCAGGUUCUAAACCUAUUGACUAUAAGUGGAUUUUCAAAAGGAAAGGAAUGCGGAUGGGUCCAUUAACAAGUAUAAGGUCAGGUUAGUUGCUACAGGUUUGAAAUAAAAGGAAGGUAUAGACUAUUUUGACCCUUAUGCUCCAUUUGCAAGGAGAUAUACUAUACAUGUACUACUUGCUCUUGCCUCUGUUAGAUGUGUAUUUAUUCACCAAAUCGAUGUAAAACCUAUGUUCCUAAAUGUGAAUUGAAUGAAAUUUAUAUAAAACAACUAGAAGUUUGUUAUCCCAGGCCAUGAACACAAAGUGUGUAAAUUGGUCAAAUUAUUGUAUGGGCUGAAACAAGAUCCAAAACAAUAGCAUAAAAAAAUUGAUAAUGUAAUAUUGUCAAAUAGUUUUAAAAUAAGUCGGACAAACAUGUGUGUAUAGUAAGAAAAUUAAUUUAAUGUGUCAUAAUUUGUAUAUAUAUUGAUGACAUGUUAAUAGUUGGACCUAGAGGAAACCAAAAGGUUGCUUAGAUACAACUUUGAUAUGAAAGAUCUAGGAGUGGUUGAUGUGAUACUUGGCAUCAAGAUAGUGAGAAAUGAUGAUAGUUUGGUAUCGAUCCAAUCUCAUUACAUUGAAAAUAUACUUAAUAAAUUUGUCCAUAGUGAUUGUAAACUAGUACUCACACCAAUGGAUCCUCAUAUAAAGUUAAUGAAAACUGAAGGGAGAUUUAUUUCUCAAAUUGAAUAUGCAAGAGUAAUUGGUCAUUUGAUGUACGGCCUAACAUUGUAUAAUCUUUGAGUAAACUUAUUAGAUAUACAAGAUGUCCAAGUAUGGAGCAUUAGGAUGCAAUCUCUCGAGUAUUGAAAUAUCUCAAAUGACCUAUCAAUUAUGGCAUACACUAUAACAGUUAUCCCAAAGUGUUGGAAGGAUAUAGUGUUGGGAGUUGGGCACAGAACUUAAAGAAUCACGAUCUACAUCAAGAUGGAUAUUCACCUUAGGAGGUGGAGCAAUAUCAUAAGGCUCGAAAACACAAACGUGCAUUUCUCGAUCCACUGUAGAGUUAGAUUAUUGGCUCAAAACGAUAAAGACAAUCACAAGUAACAAGUAAAUAAUGAUGUAUAUAACGGCAAAGACAUAACUCUAUCCAAAUGUUGAUCAAAGAUAGAGUGAUAAGUCUAGAAUUUAUAAGGUCAAAAGAUAAUUUGGCCAAUCCACGCAAGGGCUUGCAAGGGAAGACAUCUCUUGGAUGUCUAAUAGAAUGGGCUAGAGUCCAUGAAGUAACCAUCAAUGAUGGUAACCCAAUGUAGGCUUUUUUCUAUCUCAAGAGGUCCAGAUUAAUUGUGGUCAAAAUCAGCUAUUUGUAUGGUUAGUUGAAUCACUAGACAAAUAAUUUAUUUUUAAGCACCCAUUCUAAUAUGAUCCAUACGAUGGAUAAGUCUAAUGAUGGACUUGCAUGAUAAGGAAGGAUGAGCUACGCUCUUAAUGAGAUCUAUAAGAAUGGUAUUAGUUUGAACGUUUAUAUGCAGGGGCACUCUUGAUAGACUCACCUGUAUGAGUGAAGAAGUGAGGUUGCUUCCCAUGGGAUUGGACUCGUACCUAGAGAGCUCAUGAAUUUGAGUUAUAAGCUCAAGGCCCAUAUCAAUUUGGCAGUAAAAAGAGUCACCAUAGAGUGUAUGUCAUAUGUGUGUUGUGUUAUUUAUAUAUUGGAUAAGAUCCGUGGUUUAAAGUUAUAUGUUACCAUGGAACUUGAUGUACUUUAUAGUGCUUUCACUAAGUGAAGAUUCAAAUUAAAAUAUACCUUCAUGAUAUGCAAAUAAUAUAUGUUGCCUGAUGUUUUCAUAUUAUUUUGAAAUAAAUGAGGAAAUUGUUGUAUUUGUUGCUUUAGAAAAAUACUUUAUGUUAUCUCAAAAUAAUAAAUCUCUUUCUCCAUAUUGUUUUGGAAAGUGUAAGAUUGAAAUUGUGUUUUCGUCUUAUGUAUUGAGAGAAUGUUGGGAUAUUCAUCCCACAUUGAAGCUGUGGAAGAGAGAAGCCUUGUUUAAAUACACGACAUUCUUUUCACUUGUAUUCUUAGAACCCAAGGGAGAGAAGGCCUAUAAAGAGCACGUGCAGCAUGCAUACGUGCACUUGCCUUUUCAAAGGCGAGAGUACAAGCGUGUUUGAUGAUGCAUCAGUACAUGAGGCAUCCUGGUGCAUUGUUCCUUACUGGUAGAAUGCAAGGCUAUGGUGAAGUGGUGUGCUCCGGUACUCAUGAUUCACCACUGAAGACGUGUACAUAACGCGUAAAUGGAAGAGACACCUGAUGUUUGUAUGUACACACAUGAUAAAUGCGACGAAUGUUUUUUGGAACUCGAAGAGUCACCUCGCCACGGAUAGGUAAGAUUUCAAGAGUCACAACUAUUAACUUAUGCGAUCACAUGUGAAAGUGAAAUGGCAUUUAUCUCUCUAUAUACCUAUUUUUAGACACAUAGAAGCCAUAUGAUUUUUUUAAUUAUUUUCUAUUAUACAUUUCUCUCACUAGAAAUAAGACAACUCUGGUGUUCUAGAUCUUGCAGAGUGCAUUUGUAUUGAUAAGGUAAUUUCAUCAAUCCUCUACUCUUAAAUAUCCCAAGGACAAAUUUGUAUGGUUAUAGCUUGGGUGCACACUGAUUAUUACCAAGAGGCAAAUAUUGUCUUGAAAAAGCAAUAUGUAUCGCGCGUUGGAUCAAAGAUAGCAAAACAUCAUUAUUUUCUACAUCAUUUAUUUUGCCCCGCUUCACCAUCCUAUUUCCAACAUUUAGAAUAUCAGCAUUUUUGAGGCACUUGUAGCCUACAAAUAAAUUUUCUUUUCACAGAUAUGGUUUGGGGCGUGGUAGAAUGUUACAGAACUUUGUAGUACACCGCACAUCGGAAUUUGGCUUUUUAGGUGCAUAGAGUAGCAAUUUUGGUGACCCACCUAGAACACACUAUCAUUUCUCAUAUUAUUUUUUCUUUAAAAAAAUAUCUAUAGAAUUGGGACUCUCUAGGUGAGGAAACUUUAUUUACUAGAGUAUUGUAGAAAGAAGAAUCAUGGAAUCAAAUAAAUUUGUCUAUUUUGCCUAUCCAAAUUAAUAAAAAAUAGCUAGUUUAACCGGUCAAAACUAUUUAAACACCGGUUUAGAGUAUGAGCCAAUUAGAACAGGUUGGUUUCGAUGAGUCUCGACGGAUUUUUAACUAAAACUGAUUUACUAUUUUUAAGUUGCUAUAAAUUAAUAUUAUAAAAUUAUGGGCAUUAUUUAAAAAUCAUUGAGAAAUUGGUGGUGUACCGUCUAGGACCCCUCGAUUUUGCUCGGGAAGAUUGGAGCAUGCUCAAAUCCGAUGGGUGACCAAUUGGACCCACCAGUUCGGUUUUUAAUCCGUUGAUUAUGAGAUGCUCCACCAUAACAAAAACUAUCAAAAAACGAGCAGAGGAAAAAUAUUUUUGCAUACAAACUCGAAUUAGUAUUCCAUCGGUGAUUCAUGGAUACAUUGUGAGCAAAGUAGUAUUUACUUCCAGCCCGCCUCAUUUGGCAAGGAUGCAUUGCCAGAUGGCUAGUACUUUACUCUGAGAGGUUUUAUGUUUUUUUGGUAAGGAAAACAUUUGGCCAGCAAACAUUAAAAAUAAAAAUAUAUAAUAAUAAUAAUAAUAAUAAUAAUAAUAAUAAUAAUAAUAAUAAUAAUAAUAAUAAUAGUAAUAAUCUCAUUGUUGUACAUUAAAUUUUGUUGUUAUUGAUUAAAUCAGUUAACAUUGCACAUGCACACGAAAAAAACAAUUAUCCAUGGCCAAAUUGAAUGAUAUUUGCCUUGAAAAUAAGACUAAUGCGAUCUUGCUGGGGAAUAUAUUUUUUUAUUUUUCUUCUUUUCACCCCUUUUCUUUUAGCAAAUAACACUUACAAGUAGUCUUAUUAUAAUAACUCUUGCUUCAAAUAAAACUACACUAACAAAUCCAAUAUCUUAAAAACAUUGAUGUCAUUAAACCAAUUUUCUUUAAACAAAGAAAAUAUCCACAAUUCUUAUGCUUGGAAUAUAAACUUAAUAUAAUUAAAUAUAGCUAAACACAAAAAGAGGAUGUCAAUGAUUACCCCAACCGGGCUUAUUACACCCUACACCGAGUCACCACCAUCCGAUGGUACAGUAUUGACAGUCUUCGUUCAAUCUCAACAGGAAAAGCUAAUUUCGACCAAGUUCUUCAAAAAACCGUUUACGAUCUUCACAAGACCCUUAAAUUCAAUAUCUCAAAAUAUUACUCUAUUAAUUCCCCUUUCACUAUUUUAUUUUUACGCCAUAGUUAUAGGACAAAUAUUGGAGAGAGAAGAAAGAGGUGUGUGCCUCUUUUGGAGAACCAAGAGAAGAGAGAAAAUAGUGAUGGGAGAGAAAAGAACUUUUCUUAAGAGAGAGAAAGAAAUUCUAAGUGGGGCGUGUCGUUUGUGGGAUGUGAGAGAGGAAAUGGAAUUAGGUACAAGAGAUAAGGUGUAGAGAUUUUUUUGGUAGAAACAAUCCCUUUUUAUGGGCUUUGAAGAAGAUCAGGGUUUUUUAGGGUUUUCUUUGCUUACCUAUAAGAUUGAAUAUGGACCGUCGAUCAAUGAUGACUUGUGGGGUGAGAGAUAUGAGUCAUUCAUUCCAUAAAUUGGCCAUCAAUAUUAUGGAAGGUGCAUGAGCCAUUAUCCCCCUUUCCUAAACCAUUUUUCCAUCAAUAUAAAUUAGAUCAAAUAAAUUUAAUCAAAAUAUUAUGCAUAUUAUAAAAUAUCAUAUAUCAAGUCAAUAUUUAACCCAUAUAUUCCAAGGCCACAUGCCAUAUUACCACAAAAAUAGGAAACAGAAUAAGGGUGGGGGUGUGGCACCCAAGGGAGGCACUCAUGGGCCCCACCUUGUAGAAAUAUGGUGGGCCCAUAUGCACAAUAAGCCCCCAUGGUAUUUUUAUAUUUUUUAAAUUAAUAAAAUAAUUUUAAAAUAUUAUUUGAAUAUGUAAACCAUUGUAAAAUCAAUAUCUUUAAUUUUAUAAAUCUAAAAAUUAUAAAUAAAAUAUCCAGUGGUUCAUAAAAUUUUAAAUAAAAUAAUUUCUACCAUAAAAUAAAUAUAAUUAAAUUAAUUUGAUGAGAAAAUGAUCCAUAUGGUUUAGGAAUUGAAUCAACAAUCAUAAGGCACUCCACCUUCAACAGUGGACUACAUAUCACACUUGCUUUAUAAGACCGACCCAGUGUUUCUUAUGAUCCACAGUCUAAGCAGUCGCUCAUUAGCGGGUCACCAAAGUCUGACCGAUGAGCCAAGGGUUCGCAAUCCCAGUUUGUGAAUUUCAGGUCUUCCCAUAGAGAUGAAUCAAGGUCACCUAGACCUGAUGCGACCACGGCUCCUAUGGUGCAUAGGGGUAUCUCUCGCACAUGCAUACGCUUCACCCUGAAAAGUGGCUUACUUGCUUUCUCAAACGAUCUAUCAAUAUGCAUGCUAUGUGAUGACACAUGUAUGAGGCUUUGGACCCCAUCUCUAUAGGCCACCAUCACACACAAGGGUCACACAGUCCAUCGGCUCACUCAUCCGGGCAUAUGCUCCGACGUCAUCAAUGGGAUGACUCAUUAAAACCCUUCUCGAUUUGUUCUCUAUACCGAGGUAACAUGAGUUUUUCCAACCGACUGGCUUAGAUCGUCAAGCACAGUCUAAUAUCUGCAAACAUCGCUUGCAUAGUAUAGUCCGCGAGGGACCACACUCCUACUAAGUUCAUGUUCCACUAUAUUAUUUCAUUUUACCUUUAAAGGCCACAUAAACCCAACAGGCAUUCCCCACUAUAUUAUUUCAUUUUACCUUUAAAGACCGCAUAAACCCAACAUGCAUUCCCCUAUUUUGAGACUUCGAGGUAUUUGUUUCACCUUAAAUUUAGCAUACACAUCCUAUUGGUACCAGCCAAUAAAAUAUAUUUUUUAAAAAAAACUCAUAAAAUAUUUUAUUGGCUCAUACCAAUAAAAUAUUUUAUUGGCUGGUAACAAUUCUGAAUUGAAUGGACGAUUAUUAAACCUUUGUUUAUAAUGUAGGAAGCCAGCCUCGACAGUAAGUUUUCCCAUUAAAAUAUAAAGAAAAUCCAUUGACAAACCGUAACUUUUAUGAUAAUGGAAGUCAGGAUUCUUUGAACAUGUCUUGCACAAUGCACAUAGUGCAGUACACACUUAAGAAGUGGCUAUUACAAAAGAAAGCAUAGUGAGUACAAGAAAGCAUGUCAAACAUUCUCAUAAUUAUAGACCCUACAAGCAGGAUAUAUACCGGCAUGCAUGAACAAGUGACCUAGCGAGGAGGUCCAUAUGGGCCUAGGGCUGGAGGCCCACCUGCUGGUCCGUUAUGUGGGAUUGGGCUUGGCAGCCCAAGAGGCCCACCCAGUGGUCCAUGAUGUGGGUUUGGGUCUGGCAGCCCAUGAGGCCCACCCAGUGGUCCAUGAGGUCUGCCAGGUGCUCCGUAAUGUGGACAUGGGCCUGGCAGCUCAGGAGGCCCGCUUGGUGGUCCAUGAUGUGCGUAUGGGCCUGGCGGCCCAGGAGGCCCACCCGGUGGUCCCUGAAGUCAGCUGGGUAGUAUGUGAUGUGUGUCUGGGCCUGGCGGCCCAAGGGGCCCACCUGGUGGUCCCUGAAGUCAGCUAGGUAGUAUGUGAUGUGUGUCUGGGCCUGGCGGCCCAAGAGGCCCACCUGGUGGUCCAUGAGGUCCGCCAAGUGGUUCGUGAUGUUGGCCUGGGCCCAGAAGGCCCAUCGGGUGGUUUGUGGGGUUUGCCAGGUAGUCUAGGAUAUGGGCCUUGCUCCAGGCGGACCACCAUACGGGCAAGGGCCGCCUCCUCCAGGCAUGUUGGGCUGCUUCCCUCUUUCUUGCUCUACUACUACUUCUCGCCCUUGCUCUUUGCUGCUCCUAGGGAUCAAGACAGGGCUGAAAGAAGAUUUGGGUGGAGGUGAAAUGCUAAAGGGGCAAGGAGAUAUAUAUACACCUAACUAAUAGUCGGACCAAACAACUCUCAUAUGUUGCACUCGCAGGAUUGAAAAGCAAAAACUCCGGCAUUACAUGCCUUGUAAUCUCUCAUGGAGAGCUCCCUAGAACCUCUUUUUCUCUACUGCCCUUUGUUUUGUUUUAUUUUGGUUUUCUCUCUUUUUCUUUUUUUCCGUAUUGUAACCUGUUCAUUAUCUUAAUGAAACACGCCUGCUUUCUCAAAAAAAAAAAGAAGUUUAGGAAGAGAGAGAGCUAUUGUGUCGGUUAUUCACAAAUAAAAAUUAAGGAAAACAAUGUGAUUGAGGAGAUGUAUCGUCUAAUCUUCAACAAGAGAGACUUAUUUGUCCAAUUUUUCAAAUGGAUCAUUCAAUGGGAGACAUGGCACAGAGAAACAAAUGCAGAUUUUUGGACUUUGCUUUUUCUAGUUUGAAGAGGCUUCCUCAUUGCAUAGACGCAUCUAUGUGUCCAAAUUGCAUAUAGACAAAAUGUGUCCAUUUAGAGUCACAUUUCGAGUUUCCUUGCUUCUCUACUCUCAUGGCACUGCUUAUCAUGCAAUUCAAGUAGAUGCCUUAUCCAAUCUCUCUCCCUCUCUCUCUCGUUGGGGCUUCUCUAGGAUUUAUAUUUGCUAUCAAAUUUUUUUUUGGUAAAAUGUUUUUGAUAGGGCGGCAAUUCUAUUAAAUAAGUAAAGCUCCACCUUGAAAUACAUAAAAAAUUGCAAUUUUGGUGUUGAAAAAUCUUUAAAUAGAUCUUCUCGGCUUUGACCAUGAUGGUUGUGAAAAAAAAUGGGAUUUCAAACCCUAAAAAUUAUGUAUAUUGUAACACAUCGUUUAGACUAUCCAUUUCGCCUUAAAAUAAGUGUUCAUUGGCUAGCAAGAUCUAUAUAAUUUUUUGAGCUUCAAUUUCAUAGUUGGCGUUGGAAAUUGAUUUUAGAGCUAUCAAGGAGAUUUUCGAUGCCCAAAGUGCUUUCCGAAUAAAAGUUCUAGAUGAGGGUUAAUUUUGUUUUCAUAAAGCCUAGGCCAUAUAAGAAUUGCAUCCAUAGCCAUUGGAUAAAAAAUCCAAUAGAUAAAAAUGUAUCAAUAACGUCCAAAAAAUUUUAUUUUGGACUUUGCGCCAAAACAAUGACACAUCAUGGACCUCCUGACUUACAUCUUCUCACAUGAGGUUCUCUACCCUAAACUCUAUUGUUUUAAAUAUAACAUCCAUUGAAAAAUAUAAGGCAAAUGGCAAGCAACCAAAUAAAGACCAAAGUAAGUGGAGCCACAAUUGUGACCUCAACUGCUACCUCCACACACUGUUUUAGAGGGAGAGAGUCAUUCUAGAGAAAUAAUGCAUGAGCUCUACAUCCUUGGACUAGAGAAACAAAAGGAUAGCUCAACCUCUUUCAGAGAGGAUAAGGGGAGGUCAAUCAACACUUUUUCUUUAAGAAAAGAAAGGGAGAGAUGCGCUUUCUAUUAGAUAGAAAUGAUGGGUUUAGAUAAAGAAUAAAGAAUUUAUAUAUGGUUGCAACAAGUGUUUGCAAAACCGGCCGAUCUAAUCGUAAAUCAGCCGGUUAGAUCGGAACUGGUCAGUUGUCGAUUUCGAUUUUGGGCGGUUUUGAUGAUCAACCGAUGUUUUAAACUUCAAAUUAAAUACUACUUCAAAUUUAUAUCAAAUGCAUUAGAAUGGUUUAUUGGUUAGCUUUGAUGAUUAAGUUUUAUAUGAAUCAUGGUUUGAAUCCUAUGGCCAGUGUGUUUUCUUUUAAGAAAUCAUUUUGUUGGUUCAAAAAAAUUACUUGCCCGAUAAAAACAAAGCGCCUAUAUUAUAUAUAACUUAAUUUUUUCUUCAUUUUCUUUUAAAAAAAGAGUUGGUCAAGUCGAUUUUUUUAAUACUAUUUUAAUAUUCUUUACAUUAUGGUAAAGACUAAAAAAAAAUUGGUCAUUGAUACUCACUUUUAUAUUUUCUCAUAUUUUUCAAAAAAAAUUAAAAAUACCCCUAGGCACAAAUCGAUUCGUUAAAAUCUAUUUUUUCAUUAAUUUUCAACUUCAUUUGAGUGUGUUUUGUUUUAAUCACAUUCUUUAUAUGUUUUUCAUAGUUUAGUAGAUUUUUUUUGUAUCUUUUUUAUUGUUUUCAACACUUUUUUUAUCGUUCGAAACUUGCCCGGUUAGAGCAGUUGAAUCUGCUGAUAUACCGGUUAGGCCAGUUAACUCGUUUCCGGGCCCAUGUCUGCUUAACCGUUCCGGUUCGAUUUUACGAACACUAGUUGCAACCAAUGCUCAAAAAACCAAACCGGCCAAGGGCCGAGUCUGAGUAACCGGUAAAUCAACCUAAUCGGCAUGUCCCGGCCCAUCUAAAAAUUGUCAAAAAAAUAAAAAAAUCCCAAAAAAUAUGAAACAUGAUUAAAUAAAGCACAUCCAAAUGAAGUUGAAAAGUAGUGAAAAAAUAGAUUUUAAAAAAUCAAUUUGUGCCUAGGAGUGAUUUUGAAAUUUUUCAAACAAGAUAGGAGAAUGUAAAAAUAAGUAUACAUGGCCAAAAUAUUUUCCAAUCUUUGCCAAAAAAAAAGAUAAAAAAAAUAUUAAAGACACAUUACAAACAAAUCCCUUAUUUAUUAAUUUAUUUUUAAAUACUCAGUCGGACCACCAAAACCGGAUUGGCCAGUGCCAAGUUCCGGUUUGACAGGUCGAUUCCAAGUUUGCAAACAUUGAUUGUAACCUUACAUUAUUGAAGUAAUGUGCACCUCAAAAAUCCUACAGAAAAGAGUGUUCUAGCGUUAGAUUGAUCAUCUUGACCUUGAGAUGUAUGUACAUAAAGCGGAAAAAAAAAAAAAGAUUUUAAGUCUAAAAAAUAGUGUUCCUUGUAGCAAAUUAUAUGAACUGCCUAUUUUCAAGAUUUUUAAGUGUUUAUUGCUAUGGUCAGCCCAUACCAUUUUUAAAAUCUGAAACUUUAUCAUCAAGAAAAAAACAGAUUUUCAAGCCAUCAUAAAAUUUGUGAUCCAUAACCACAUCUCUAAGCAAAUUUUAGAGGUGCGCCUUACAUCUACAGUAUAAAAAGGCAACCCUAUACAAACCUCACCCUUUGUAUAACGAGAUGGUGAGCUCAAUAGGCCCGGGUAUUAGAGGGCCAAAAGGGUGUUGUGUCCAUCCCAUUUUGAAAAGAAAAUAUUUUGCUUCAUAUUGAAGAAAUGUAUGUCUUAUCUUAAUGUUCUCACAAUAAGAUAGUGUUUUAGAGUUGCACAAUGUUGUAACCUUAAGAUCACACAUCAAAAUCAAUUAGUUUCAUUCACAUUCUCUAUUUGUCUCAAAGAAUUUUUUAUAGCAGUGUCAUCGUACAAGUUCGUCCUCUUAAGAGCCUCGCCUAAAAUUCUUGUGUGGAAAGUACUUUAGGUGUCGAUAAUCUCCAUGAUGAUUUUAAAAUCAAUUUUCAAUGCUGACUAUGAAGUUUGAAGCUAAAAAAUGUAGGCAUCUUGCGGAUUUGACAAUCAAUUUCCAAUACUAACUAUGAAGUUUAAAGCUCAAAAUAUGGUCUGGACAUCGUGUUACAAUAAACUAGUUUUAAAGCUUGAAACCCUAAUGCUUUUAUCAUAUUGGUCAAGGCUGAGAUAAUCGAUUUGAAUGUUUUCUGACACAUAAUUAUAAAGUUUGGUGAGUUUUAAAGUGAGGCUUUACUUAUUUUGAUAGGGAUAUAGCCCCAUCAAAAACAUUUUCCUCAAAAAGAAUUUGAUAACAAAUAUAAACCAUAGAGAAACGAAUGCUCUCUCUAUUUAAAAUUGGCUUUUAAAUUUUAAAAAUUUGAGAGAGAGAGAGAGAGAGAGAGAGAGAGAUAUUGGACAUGGCAUCCACCUGAAUUAUUGGGUGAGUGUGGCCAUUAAAGACCGUAUGGUGCUCCAGGUGCGGCUGGUUAUAUUUGUUUUUUUUUUUAGAAUUGUUGUUUGAAUUUGUUUAAAUUACUGGAUAUUUUAUUUAUUAAAUUUGGAUUUAUAAAUAUAGAGAUAUUGAUUUUAUAAUAAUUUAAAUAUCCAAAUAAUAAUUUUAUGUAUUACUAAAAAUAUAAAAUAAAUUAAAUAUGCAUAGGAGGCCCAAUAGGUCUUUUGGGCCCACCAUUACAUGAUGGGUGGCGCCCAUUAUGUGCCACCAUGGCACGCUCCACGUAUAGCAUCUUUCCUAUUUGGUGUUCAAGCUUGAAGCUUGAGAGAAGGUUUUGUAUUGUUUUGGAAAGUUUAAAGCCUUGAUGAAUGUUUGAUUAAUAUUUUGGAAUGCAUGAAUUUUUUAUUAAUAUUUUGGAAUGCACGAUAAGGCUUAUGCUUCAAAUAAGAAAGGAUAAUAUUAUGAUAUAUUAAGAAAGGAUAAUAUUAUGAUAUAUUAAUUACUUAUUUGAAUUAAUAGAUGGAAAAAUGGUUUAAGAAGUGGGAGAUAAUGGUCUAGCACUUUUCAUAAAUUGUUGAUGGCCCAUAUGUGGAAUGGAGAACUCAGAUCUCUCACCCCACAAGUCACCCAAUAUAAAUGGUUCAUAUUCAAUCUCAUGUGAGUGACAAGACAAGAAAAGCCAUAAGAAACCCUAAUCUUGAUCCAGCGUUAUUAAAAAUAGAUUAUCUCUACCCAAAAUCUCUACACCUUAUCUUUCUAUAUCUCUCUCUUAACCUACCAAAGGGAACACGCCCCACUUAGAAACUCUAUCUCUUUCAAAACUCUCUCUCCUCUCCUCUCUCAUGAAAGCCCAAGGAGGGGGCAUACACUUCUCAUGCUCUCUUGACUUCUUCUCUCUCCCAUCUAAGAGAUAGCCAUAAGGGGCACAUGCCACUCUCUCUCAUCUCAUGUUUUCUCUCAUGAUCUCUCAUCUUUCAUUGGGGAUUUGACUAUAAGGUUAUGGUAGAAAAGGGAAAUAUCUCUCUCAAACUAGGUUGCUAAGGGGAUUCACCUACAGUUUAAGUUUUGUGAUCAAAUGGAUUCAUGUUCCAUUGGUGUGGCUUAUCUAAACUUGUUUUUCCGGUUGAGAAUGAAUGUUCACCAGUAGAUCCCACGCCAUUGGAAGGUGGUGAUUCCGUGUAGGAUGUAAAAAGCCCGGUUGAUGUAAUCUCCGUCACCCUCUUUUGUUUCUUCCAUAUUUAUUUAUUAUAUCUUUUAUUUCCAAGUAUAAGUUGUGUCCUUUCUUUGUUAAUGAAAAGUGUGGUUUUGAAUGGCUUAAAGUUUUUGAGAUCUUAUUGUAUUCUUUUCUUUUUUUUUAUUUGAAGUUGUUAUAUUGUAAAAAGACUUAUUGUGAGUGAUAUAGAUCGUGAAGAAAAAAAAAUAAUUGGCAAAAAAAAAACAAUUAUUAUAUACUCCGGCUAGAUCACACACGUCCUUCUUUCAUGAAUUGCAUGAUAAGCAUUACAAGAAAAGUAGAGAAGCAAGGAAGCUCCAAAUGUGACUCUAAAUGGACCCAUUUUAUCGAUGUAAUUUUGAUACAUACACGUGUCUAUGCAGUGAGGAAGCCUCUUUACUCGAAACGCAUAGUCCAAAAAUCUACAUUCUAUGCUAGUGUUAGUGCGACUUGGAUAGAGUAGUCAGAUAUGGCUUACUUCGGCAGAAUCCUAGUAACUUGAACCAUUAGUGUCAAGUAUUGUAUCCGCUAAAAAAAAAAAGGUAAAAAAGUAUAUAAAAUAUAAGGGAUUGUAUACAAUGAGACCAUUUAUGUUUGUCACAAUUACUUGCAAUUAUCCGAUAUGAAAUCUGAUAGCUUGGGUGUGUCACAAAGUUCGUAAAAUUUUCUUUUGAAGUUUGAGCUUGAUCAAUGAAAUAAAUGCAGCCAUCUAAUUUCAUAACAAAUGUUUAAAGAUUAAUUGUGAGCACCUUAUACCAAAGAUAAAUAGUCUCACUAUAUACUUUUUCAAAAUAUAAAAAAUAUAAAAAAAAUAAAAAAUGCACAUUUAAAGUAAAAUUAAGUGAAACACUUCAAAGUGAUGUUACAAAAUUAGUAAAAUAAAUAAAAUUUAAAAAAUCAACUUGUGACCGGGGGUAUUCUCAAAAGGAAAAAGUUUAUAAAAGGAUGUUACCUUGUAAUGUAGAAUUACGAAUGCCCCUCAAAAAUCUAUUGAAAAAAGUAGUUUUAAUGUUGAAAAACCUUUUGAUUGAUCAUCUCAAGAUGUAUGACUAUGAAAAAUAAAAAGAUUGUAAGUCUCAGAAAUAGUGCAUUUUACAAUAUAUUAUCUACACUUUCCAUUUUCAAGAUUUUCAUAUGUUUAUAGAUCUACUUGAUUUUAACAUUUGUAAAUUUUAAACUUUUAUAAUUAGAUAUAAAAAUAGAUUUUGAUAUAAUCCUAAUAACAUUUUACAUCAAAAUUAUAUACCAUGAUAAAAUUUUAAGGGCACCAUACCUCUACACCUAUAGAGGUGUCCGUAUGCCAACUGCACCCUCUCAAAAUAACAAAAAAUAUAUGGGAAAAAUAUAAAAAUAGGUAUUUAUGGCUAAAACACUUUUCAAUCUUUGCCAAAAUAAAUGAUAUAUAUAUAUAUAUAUAUAUAGGGAAAUGACCUUGUGAGACCCUUCCACACCAUGUGUGUAGGACCUCAAAUGAUCACCAUUAAAUUUAGCACAGAUAUCUAGAAAAANNNNNNNNNNNNNNNNNNNNNNNNNNNNNNNNNNNNNNNNNNNNNNNNNNNNNNNNNNNNNNNNNNNNNNNNNNNNNNNNNNNNNNNNNNNNNNNNNNNNNNNNNNNNNNNNNNNNNNNNNNNNNNNNNNNNNNNNNNNNNNNNNNNNNNNNNNNNNNNNNNNNNNNNNNNNNNNNNNNNNNNNNNNNNNNNNNNNNNNNNNNNNNNNNNNNNNNNNNNNNNNNNNNNNNNNNNNNNNNNNNNNNNNNNNNNNNNNNNNNNNNNNNNNNNNNNNNNNNNNNNNNNNNNNNNNNNNNNNNNNNNNNNNNNNNNNNNNNNNNNNNNNNNNNNNNNNNNNNNNNNNAAUUGUCUUGUAGUGUUUUAUUUUUUACAAAUCAGAAUGACCUAAAAUUUGAAACGUAUGUACAUCUUACUGAGGUGCAUCUAAUAAAAAUAUAAAAAAAAAUUAUCUGUAAACAAAAUUGACCAAAAUAUUUUGAAGGUAUUUGGUCAUUUUUUUUGUGUAAAAUAUUUUUUUUAUAUUUUUCGAAGAUUCUUCUAUUUUUGAUGAAUACACAUUCCAAAUUUUAAGUCAUUCUAAUUUGUAAAAAAAAUGAGAAAUAAAAUACUACCAAACAAUCGUGAACGCGCGAUGAACUUUGGACGGUAAUGAGAGUAGGCGAAAUCACUGUUCAUUUUCGCCUAUAGACGUUGCGUAGUGUUUUUCUAUAUACAUAUGUAUUUCUUAGUUUUUAUAUUUUUAUUUAUUUUUUUGAAUUUGUUUAAUAUCCUCGAGUUGGACACCCAACUCAGGCUCGGCAAGAGCCCGAGCCCAAAUAGAAACUACUCAGCCGAUUUUGCGAACAUUGAUAUAUGCCACGUCUCCCCUUGAAUGAUCCUUUUGAGAAAUUGGACAAAGAACAAUCACUCUCUCUCUCUCUCUGUGGAGAAAUUGGACAAAGAACAUAUUCUCUCUCUCAUUGAAGAUAGGAUUAUACAUCUCAAUCACAUUCCUCUAGAUCUUUUCCUUUUAACUUCAUGACACGCCUAGGGAAUCACAGACACGAUCACUCUCUCUCUCUUCCCGAGAGAUUGCAACGCCUGUAAUGUACGAGUUUUUGCUUUUCGAUCCUACGCGUGCUUUUCAUGAACGUUGUUUGGUCUGACUGUUAGUUGGGUCUGUAUAUAAGUCCUUGCUCCUUUAGCAUUUGACCACCACCCAAAUCUUCUUUCAACCUUGUCCUCGUCCCUAGAGAGAGAAGCAGCAGCUUGAGAGUAGAGAGAAGCAUCCCAACAUGCCUGGAGGAGGCGGCCCAGGCCCCCAUGGUGGUCCAAGAGGGCCCGGAUGCCCAGACCCACAUCACGGACCACCUGGAGGGCCUCUUGGACCCCCAGGCCCAGGUCCACAUCACGGACCGCCUGGCGGACCUCAGGAACCACCGGGCGGUCCUCCUAAGCCGUCCGGCCCAGGUCCACAUCACGGACCACCUGGCGAACCUCACAGACCACCAGGCGGGCCUCAUGGGCCACCAGGCCCAGGCCCACAUUGACCGCCUCGCUAGGCCACUGGUUCAUGCAUGCCGCUCGUAUAUAUCCUGCAUGUAUGCUGGUAGUAUCUAUGAUUAUGAGAAUAAGUGAGAAUGUUUGGCAUGCUUUGUUGAAUUCACUAUGUUCUCUUAUGUAAUAGCACUUCUUUAGUGUGCUGCACCGUGUGCAUUGUGCAAGUCAUGUUCUCUGGCUUCCUUUUAUCAUAAAAAAUUAUGGUUUGUCAAUGUAUUUUCUUUAUAUAUUUAAUGGGAGAACCUUACACAUGGUUUAAUAAUCGCCGAUUCGAUUCGAAAUUGCUAGAGUUUAAUUAUGAUAGAGAGGUUGGCU
rnacentral:lncRNA from 1 species